GCGGGUAUCGUAUAAUGGAAUUACCUCAGCUUUCCAAGCUGAUGACAGGGGUUCGAUUCCCCUUACCCGCU
rfam:Candidatus Liptonbacteria bacterium RIFCSPLOWO2_01_FTLL_52_25 rifcsplowo2_01_scaffold_461, whole genome shotgun sequence.